rnacentral:tRNA from 1 species
ACGGCUGAAUUAAAGGGCGUUUUUCGUGCCUCCGGAGCACGAGGUCGAAGGUUCGAAUCCUUCCGGGCGCGCCA